UCCUUGAAGUGUUUUUCUUCACAUGCAUAGAAGUCCUUUAAGUAUCAUGCCCGAGAAGAUCUAAGAACUGUCUGUAUUAAUAACAAGUACCUCCACUUGGAAAUUAUUUACAUGAAACAUUGUUCUCACGUCACUGCCACUGACAGCGGCUCCGGACUG
rnacentral:lncRNA from 1 species